rnacentral:tRNA from 1 species
UAAGCUGUAGUUUAACAAAAACAUUUAACUUACAAUUAAAAAUUACCCGUGUCAGCUUAA